GACAAGAAAUAACAAUACAGGGCUAAUGUCUUGUAAUUGGAAUGAUGGUGACCCAAACCCUCACCAGAGUAGCAAUUGGAGGGCAAGUCUGGUGCCAGCAGCCGCGGUAAUUCCAGCUCCAAUAGCGUAUAUUAAACUUGUUGCAGUUAAAAAGCUCGUAGUUGAAUUUUAGCGUGUUCGAGUUUGCCAUUCGUUUGGCUUUUUCGAGUUCGCUUUUGGGUUUUCCCUUUUUACUUUGAGAAAAUUAGAGUGUUUCAAGCAGACUUUUGUCUUGAAUACUUCAGCAUGGAAUAAUAGAGUAGGA
rnacentral:rRNA from 1 species